rnacentral:rRNA from 1 species
GACGAACGCUGGCGGCGUGCUUAACACAUGCAAGUCGAACGGAAAGACCCUGCUUUUGUGGGGUUGUCGAGUGGCGAACGGGUGAGUAACACGUGAGUAACCUGCCCUUGACUUUGUGAUAACUUCAGGAAACUGGGGCUAAUACCGGAUAGGAUCUCCUGCUGCAUGGUGGGGGUUGGAAAGUUACGGCUGUUGGGGAUGGAUUCGCUGCUUAUCAGCUUGUUUGUGGAGUAGGGGCGUACCAAGGCUUUGACGGGUAGCCUGCCUGAGAGGGUUGACGGCGACCUGGGGCCUGAGGUAGGGAGCAGACGGGUAUGGGAGGCAGUGGUGGAGAACCUGACACAGUAAGGCGACGUGUGAUGUAGAGACGUCCGGUGCGGGAAGAUGUGUUUUGGGUUGAGAACAGAUUUGGAAUGAGCCGAAGCGUGAGUGACGGUAACGGGUCAAGAAGCACCGGCUAACUACGUG